CUUUUCUUAAUGAAGAAAGUGGAAUGAAAAGCAAGGAAUAUAUAGGGUGAUAAAUGUGAGCCGUAGGAUGAGAGAGGAUUAGGGAAUAGCGAGAAGCAUCUGAGAUUAGAUGCUAAGAAUCGUGAAUGAAGAUGCUAAGCAUUUUCUCAACAGAUGGAAGUUUAAAAAGAUCAUCUACAAGUCGUGAUAGCCAUAUGUUACGGAUUUCAGCUGAACGCAAGUUUGAACCACUUUCAACGUAACCCACGAAAGACAUAUUUGGAAUCAAUGGAUGGAUUGUAGCCCUGUCAAGGAAGACUUUUAAGUAUAUAGAAAUGUUUAAGACAUAUUUAGAUUCAAUUACACAGAAAUUUUCACUAAGAGAGUGCAUAAUUACCUGUACAAGGGUAUCAUGCCCAAGGGGAACUCCAGCAGACUGCGAAAGGGAUCUGGUAAUAUGGCUUUGAGCUUUUUCUUCUCAUCAAAACCAGUUGCAAGUAUGACAACAUCGGCUUCCAACUUGGUGUUGUCAUCGAAUUCAACUCCUCCUUCCCAGAACCACCACUUUGAUGUUCUUUUAAACAAGAUUUUACCCUUAUCAGCCUCGCUGAAGAAAUUCUCCGGCAAGAUAGCCAUCUGACAUGAUGCAUAUAAUCUUCCUCAAAUGGGUGUUCUGGUUUUAGUCCAUACUUUUUUAGUGGAAGUUUCCAUUCCAAAUAUGACUCGAUGAACUUGGAAGUUGCUUUUCUCUGUCGCAA